rnacentral:rRNA from 1 species
AUAACCGGCGAACGGGUGCGUAACACGUGAACAACCUGCCCUCGUGUGGGGGAUAGCCAUGCUAACGCGUGGGUAAUACCGCAUACGUUCCUUUGGGGGAGUCCCCGAGGGAAGAAAGCUCUGGCGCACGGGGAGGGGUUCGCGGCCUAUCAGCUAGUUGGGGGGGUAACGGCUUCCCAAGGCGACGACGGGUAGCUGGUCUGAGAGGAUGGCCAGCCACAUUGGGACUGAGAUACGGCCCAG